AUACUCACCUGGUGUCGGGGCCUCUGGGAUCAAUGAGGGCGAGGCGCGGCCAUUGCACAGCGGCCGUGUUGACCCCUGCCACUUUCUCAAACUGAGAUAGAUGGGACAUGCAAUUUUUGGCCGAGAAAAACA
rnacentral:snRNA from 1 species